GGGCGCCUCCCGCCUUGGGGCUGCCGGGGGGUCUGGUGCCCGGCUCCGUGCUCGGCCUGCCGGCUGCCCUGAGGCACCGGGGUCGUCCCUGUUGGUCCUCCCGCUCGUCCCCCUGCUUCCCCUUCCAUCACCCCUCUUGGUUCCCACCUUCACAUCCCAAACUGACACAACCCGGGUCGGUUUUGCUGCUGCUUUUGCGAUUCAGGGCAGCAGCCGGAUGACUGCUGUGACCCAAAAGACUUUUUUUGUUUUUUUUUUGUUUUUUUUUGGGGGGGUGGGGUGUUUUUGUUUUGGCUGCUGCUUGACGUGACUGACAGCAGCAGCACGAGCCAUCCCUCGGCAGAUUUACUUUCCAAAAUGAAAACCUGUCUGGUUUCAAAACCUCUGACUCAUCAAGGGAACAAACAAUUCUGUCGCGCGUGAGGGCUCAGGAACGCUCAAAUGCUGCAGGACCUGGGUGAGUCUGUGGAGGGCUCGGCGGGGGACGUGACUGGGUUCUUCCAAACUGUCUCGCAGGGGAUGGCUGCCACYGUGGGGUACGUGCACCUCCAGAAGGAGCGGCUCCCUAGUGAAGGGGGCACCGCGAACUGGAAGCCCAGGAAAGAAUGUUUACUGAAGAAUAUUCCAAAUGUUGCUGAUAGUGAGGCUCAAGAAGGUGAAUUCCCUGAUAUCUCUCACUAUGAAAAAGAUGUUAGUGGAUCUCCAGUUGAAUCUGUUUACUUCUGCUCGGAUCUGGAAGACUCGGAUGGUGAAGCAUCCAGUAUUCCUGAGGUUGCAACUUUUCCUGAGCUUCAAACUGCUGCUGAGUAUGAGGUGGAGGACUGGGAUAAGGAAUUGGAGGAUUCUGAAUUUAAUCCUUAUGGAUCUCAUUCUUCCAUUUCCAUCUGGUUGACUGAGUCCUGGAAGGGUUUGGGGACUCCUAAUUGGGGAUGUGGUUACGGAGACAGCAGGAAGCGGACAAUAAGUGUUGUGGCUUUGUGA
rnacentral:lncRNA from 1 species